GCCAAGCCCCCUGCUGCUGAGGGCAGAGUGUGGUGGGUGCUAUCUUCCAGCUGGUCCAACCAAAGGAACCUUCUUGCCCACUCUGAUGGCUCCUUCCUGGCCCAGUCUUACAAUUCUGCAUCACAGCUCAGAGGAGACCUAAGUAGACCAAAACCCCAGAUCCCAUGGGUAUUCCAAGCCUCAUUCUCCUAAGAGUCUAGUUCUCAGGCCUGGAAAAAGUGCUGAUUCUUGGCUGGAAACCAAGGGAGCUAAGCUUCCAGCUAGCUUGUGGGUGAUACCCAGAUCUACCCAGGGUAGGUUGACAGCUGUUUAAAAUUGCAAAUCCUUUCCCCCACCUCCCAAUCUACCCCUCCUCCUCAUCAGGAAAGAAUUUCAAUUGCAAAUUUGUCUCUGCCUCAGUGCAUCGCCCGCGCCCCGCCACUGCCACCAACUCCCCCUAUCCCUUUCUUCUCAGUGCUUCUCUCAUCACCCACUAUUUAUUACAAACCUCUAGCUGCAGGGUUUUUUUUGUUUGUUUGUUUUUCAGUUUUCUUCCUCCUUCUAUUUACCUCCUCCUCCAUCUUUUCUUCCUUCCCUCUCUGAAUCUCCAUGUCCCUUCCUUUGCCUUUCCUACCUGGACUUGGAGAUGACACAGAAAGACAGGCCUAAAAGUCAUCUCUACCAGCCUACCAUCUCCAGGCUGAGAUUCUUGUUCACCCUCGGACCUUCCUUUAGGUCCUGCCUUGCAUAAGUGCACCUUUUCUCCCCUGGGACAUGUCUCAGAUGUUAGUAAAAGACAACCGGCACAGGUCCUGGCAUUCCUGCCUUGGAAGGAGGAAGCAGGCAGGUUUGGAAGAGUGGAAGUAGGGGACAGCCCAAAGGAAAGACCUGAGUAGAGGAG
rnacentral:lncRNA from 1 species